rnacentral:misc_RNA from 1 species
CGUAUUUGCUUUUUUCUCACCUACGGCUCUUCUCCGCGCCCUUUCGCAGGAGAGCGCGCAAGGGCUUUUUGUUCUCUAAUUCUGCCCCUUUCCGUGGCACGACAAUGCGCAGAAGCGGCUUGGCCUACAUGCUGCGCAGCAGCGUCCCGCUGCUCGCAACGCCAGCUUUCCUCUCGAAUGUGAGGCACAUGCGCAACAUUGGUAUCAGCGCCCACAUUGAUAGCGGCAAAACGACGCUGAGUGAGCGCAUUCUCUUCUACUCUGGUCGCAUCGGAAAGAUCCACGAGGUGAAGGGCGGCACCGAGGUCGGCGCCACAAUGGACUCUAUGGAGCUUGAGAAAGAGCGUGGCAUCACUAUUCGCUCCGCCGCGACGCAGUGUCGCUGGAAGAACAGCACCAUCAAUAUAAUCGACACGCCCGGCCACGUCGACUUCACCAUCGAAGUGGAGCGCGCCCUUCGCGUGCUGGACGGUGCUAUCUUGCUCAUGUGCGCCGUUGGCGGUGUGCAGAGUCAGACGCUGACGGUAGAUCGCCAGAUGAAGCGUUACGGUGUACCGCGCAUCUGCUUCAUAAACAAGCUCGAUCGCGACAACGCGAACCCACAGCGGGCAGUAAAGCAAGCGCAGGAGCGUCUGGGCAUCAACGCCGUCUUCAUCCAGCUGAACAUGGGCACUGCACAGGACUUCGAAGGCGUCGUCGACCUCAUCGAGGAGAAGGCGGUCUACUUUGAUGGCCCUUUCGGUGAGGCCAUCCGCUACGAACCGGUGCCGAGCUACAUCAAGGAGGACGUGGCUGCCGCACGCAAGGAGCUCGUGAGCCGCCUAGCAGAGUGCGACGAGGAGAUGGAGUUCAUCUUUCUUAAUGACCAGGAGCCGACAGUCGAGCAGAUCCACGCUGCCAUUCGCCGCGCUACCAUAGCCAACAAGUUUGUGCCCGUGAUGGUCGGCUCGGCGUACCGGAACAAGGGCGUGCAGCUGCUCCUGGACGCGGUGGAGCGCUACCUGCCGUCGCCAGUGGAGCGCCACAACUCCGGCUAUCAGGUGAGGCGUGUGAAGGACGAGGAUGGAAACGUGUCGAACGUGAAGGAAGGCGAGGUGGAACUGAUGACGGAUGACGAGAAGCCGCUGGUGGCCCUCGUUUUCAAGAUCGAGGAGACAAAGAAGUCGGGGCUGUCCAAUUACGUGCGGGUGUACCAAGGGAAGAUGCGCAAGGAACACCUGAUGAAUAUCCGCACCGGCAAGAACUUCUUGCCGCCGAAGCUUGUGCGCAUGCACGCGGACAGCGCCGAGGUUGUGGACGAGGUGCGCGCUGGCGACAUCUGUGCCAUUCAGGGUGAGGUGGACGCGUCCUCGGGUGAUACCCUCAUGAAGUCCGGACCGCAGUCUGGCUCGCAGCUCUUCUCGUGCGAGGACAUGUACGUCCCGCCGCGCGUCAUCUCUGCCUCACUCAAGACGAAGGAUGAUAAGGAGCAGUCCAGGGUGCGGGAGCGUAUGCUCGCCUUCAUGCGAGAAGACCCCACCUUUGUGUACUACCGCAACUCGGAGACGAACGAGGACAUUGUGGAGGGCAUGGGUGAGCUGCACCUCGAUAUUUACGUGGAGCGGCUGAAGCGGGAGUAUGGACUGCACGUGGAACUCGGCAAGCCAACGGUCAACUACCGCGAGAUUAUCACGGAGCGGCAGGAUUUCGACUUUGUCUUCAAGCGGCAAAGCGGCGGUGCGGGUCAGUGGGCGCACCUGAAGGGCUUUGUCGAGCCGCUGCCGAUCGAUAUGUCGGUCGAGAAGGGGGUCAAGAACAAAGCGACGACACGAUGCUCCAACGGUGACAUCCGCGAGUCGCUGCAGAAGACGGUGGUGAAGCACCUGGAGCGCAAAAUUUUUGUCAAGGGCGAGCUGAUGCACGCCCCUGUCUGGGGCGUGCACUUUCACUUGAAUGGUGGCGCCAUGCACGAGGUGGACUCGAACGAUCAGGCCUUCAAGAACGCGACCCAGGAGCUGUGGGAAACCUUGCUACCGAAGCUGAAGCCGACGCUUGUGGAGCCGUUCAUGGAUGUGGAGAUGACAGUGCCUGCGGCGAACAUGACUGAUGUGGCGACCGAGUUCUCGAAGCGAGAGGGCGUGGUGACCGAGACCGCUGUAGACGGCCCUGAUGCAGUGAUCCGCGGGGAGACAGCCCUGGACACCAUGUUCGGCUUUAUUUCCGACCUGCGACGACUGACGAAGGGCCAGGGCGACUUCAGCAUGCAGUUUAAGGAAUAUCGGCCGAUGCAGCAGUACAAGGCCCAAAUGCGAAUGGAUGAACGCAACAACGAUCUUGGGCGCAAGCCGUUCAAGCUUUCGGACUAGGGUGCUCCAUCCCCACCCCUUACCACUGAGAGGCCCGCCGGGGGCACAUUCACAGAUACUCUACGGCUUUUUCGUGCCUCCUUCUCGUGUCUUGUAGAAUAGCGCACAGAAACGCUUCUUGAUUCACUGAAGUUACCUUUGUUUCCGUUUUUGUGCUGCCGAUGGCUUGUGUUGACUUUAUAUUUUGCCGUUGUGUCCGUGCAUGCGCCUAGAUAGUGGCGCACGCACACCUCUUCACAGUAGCUUCUCUCUCUCGUUGGCUCCCUUUUCUUGAGAAAGAAAAGAAGCGCUUUAAUGCCGUGGGGGAACGCAUGGUGAACGUAAUGGCGAAGCACUCCGCCUGCGCACGUCCGUAUGUGUAUGUGCUUGUCGGUAGCUAGGGGUGACGCGCUAGUUGACAACUGUGUGCGUAUCUCCCCGACAUGUUCUCACCACGUAGAGACGUUGGCGCUUUACAGAUCAUUUUUUUAUAUUCUCCGUUCUGCGUCUCCAGUAACCCGAACUUAACUAACGAAGAUGAAAAAAAAAACACAAAACAAAAACCCGUACCGCAAGCCUUGAUACUUGAUGGGAGCCACAAAAACAAAACGAGGAAAGCAGGCAAACAACAUAGCAUGGAAUGCCGUGUCACAUGCACGCUGACAGAGGCAUGUGGCUGCAUACUUUCGCAUGGCAUUCUGAGGCAGCGGCCUCAACUGUGGGCAAAGGUGAGAAUUUGGAUGGGGAAGCACCUUCGUGCGGUAGACGGCGCAUGACCCCACGACGUGAGUGAGUGAGCCAGUCGAUAGCUCAAAACGAGUUAUGGUGUGGACGGGCGGCGUGCUGAUGUGGGGACCCCUCCACGAGCGCCAAUCACGUUUUCCCUACUGGCCUGCACGCCGAGCAAUCCUUUCACACCGUCAACCACCCAUACAAGCCCAAACACACAUGCAGGACAACGACAGUAGUGCAGGACCUCUCAUGCCCUUCUUCUCUUGCUUUAUCUGCCUCGCUGCUUUCUUUUUUUUCUCUUGGGUAUCUUCACCUGCUGAUACGUAUUUGGACUUGUACGUGUGACGGCUGUGGCGCCACACUCAUACACACAAAUGAUUGCGGCGCUCGCGUCAACGUUUUGAG